GCGGACAUGGUGGAAUUGGUAGACACGCUAGAUUUAGGAUCUAGUGAAAUUAUUUCGUGAGAGUUCAAGUCUCUCUGUCCGCA
rnacentral:tRNA from 2 species